AGUGAACGCUGGCGGUAGGCCUAACACAUGCAAGUCGAACGGCAGCACAGUAAGAGCUUGCUCUUACGGGUGGCGAGUGGCGGACGGGUGAGGAAUACAUCGGAAUCUACUUUUUCGUGGGGGAUAACGUAGGGAAACUUACGCUAAUACCGCAUACGACCUACGGGUGAAAGCAGGGGAUCUUCGGACCUUGCGCGAUUGAAUGAGCCGAUGUCGGAUUAGCUAGUUGGCGGGGUAAAGACCCACCAAGGCGAAGAUCCGUAGCUGGUCUGAGAGGAUGAUCAGUCACACUGGAACGUAGACACGGUCCAGUGUCCUACGGGAGGGACCAGAGGGGAAUAGUGGACAAUGGGCGAAAGCUUGAUCCAGCCAUGCCGCGUGUGUGAAGAAGGUCCUCGGAUUGUAAAGCACUUUAAGUUGAGAGGAAGGGCAGUAAGUUAAUACCUUGCUGUUUUGACGUUACCAACAGAAUAAGCACCGGCUAACUUCGUG
rnacentral:rRNA from 1 species